rnacentral:rRNA from 1 species
UGGGGAAUAUUGGACAAUGGGCGAAAGCCUGAUCCAGCCAUGCCGCGUGUGUGAAGAAGGUCUUCGGAUUGUAAAGCACUUUAAGUUGGGAGGAAGGGCAGUAAGCGAAUACCUUGCUGUUUUGACGUUACCGACAGAAUAAGCACCGGCUAACUCUGUGCCAGCAGCCGCGGUAAUACAGAGGGUGCAAGCGUUAAUCGGAAUUACUGGGCGUAAAGCGCGCGUAGGUGGUUCGUUAAGUUGAAUGUGAAAGCCCCGGGCUCAACCUGGGAACUGCAUCCAAAACUGGCGAGCUAGAGUAGGGCAGAGGGUGGUGGAAUUUCCUGUGUAGCGGUGAAAUGCGUAGAUAUAGGAAAGAACACAAGUGGCGAAGGCGACCACCUGGGCUCAUACUGACACUGAGGUGCGAAAGCGUGGGGAGCAAACAGG